rnacentral:rRNA from 1 species
UACAGAGGGGGCAAGCGUUAUUCGGAAUCACUGGGCUUAAAGCGCGUGUAGGCGGGCCGCCGCGUCGGCUGCUGAAAUCCCCCGGCUCAACCGGGGAAGUGGCACCGAUACGGGCGGCCUGGAGGGGGGUAGGGGGGCCUGGAACUUCCGGUGGAGCGGUGAAAUGCGUUGAGAUCGGAAGGAACGCCCGUGGCGAAAGCGAGGCCCUGGACCCUUACUGACGCUGAGACGCGAAAGCCAGGGGAGCGAACGGG